rnacentral:rRNA from 1 species
AGAGUUUGAUCAUGGCUCAGAUUGAACGCUGGCGGAAUGCUUUACACAUGCAAGUCGAGCGGCAGCGCGGGGCAACCUGGCGGCGAGCGGCGAACGGGUGAGUAAUGCAUCGGAACAUGUCCAUGUCGUGGGGGAUAGCCCGGCGAAAGCCGGAUUAAUACCGCAUACGCCCGAGAGGGGAAAGUGGGGGACCGCAAGGCCUCACGCGAUUGGGUUGGCCGAUGUCCGAUUAGCUUGUUGGUGAGGUAAAGGCUUACCAAGGCGAUGAUCGGUAGCUGGUCUGAGAGGAUGAUCAGCCACACUGGGACUGAGACACGGCCCAGACUCCUACGGGAGGCAGCAGUGGGAAUUUUGGACAAUGGGCGAAAGCCUGAUCCAGCAAUGCCGCGUGCAGGAAGAAGGCCUUCGGGUUGUAAACUGCUUUUGUACGGAACGAAAAGGUCUGCCCUAAUACGGCGGGCCCAUGACGGUACCGUAAGAAUAAGCACCGGCUAACUACGUGCCAGCAGCCGCGGUAAUACGUAGGGUGCGAGCGUUAAUCGGAAUUACUGGGCGUAAAGCGUGCGCAGGCGGUUGUGUAAGCCAGACGUGAAAUCCCCGGGCUUAACCUGGGAAUGGCGUUUGGGACUGCACGGCUUGAGUGUGGCAGAGGGGACUAGAAUUCCUGGUGUAGCAGUGAAAUGCGUAGAUAUCAGGAGGAAUACCGAUGGCGAAGGCAGGUCCCUGGGUUAACACUGACGCUCAUGCACGAAAGCGUGGGGAGCAACAGGAU